AGUUCACUGGGAGCCAGUAGGCACGAGGGAGAGGCACAUAAGCCUUCGGCCCCUGUGGCUGCUUAGAGCUUGUUGUGGUCUGCACACCCAUCUCUGCCAGGCCCGAGCUUCUGUAAUGGACUAAUCUGAUCCUAGGAUACCCCUGCUGCAGUCAAUAGCAGCCCUCGCCCUGGGAUUGCUCCAUAAUCCCGAAACUCCAGCUCCCAGCUGUUGUGCCUUCUGGUGACCUGUGUUCCUGUCUGGGGGCUCAUCUUCCAGGAAGCCUCCUCUGAGUCCUCUGGCAUCCAGAUCUGUUUUAUUAUUACCAUGCCUCCAGCAAGCACCAGA
ensembl:lncRNA